GCUCAAUAGCUCAACCAGUAGAGCAUGAGACUCCUAAUCUCAGGGUGGUGGGUUCAAACCACACCAUAGGCA